rnacentral:tRNA from 1 species
GCCGAAGUGGUGGAAUUGGUAGACACGCCAUCUUGAGGGGGUGGUGAGGAAACUCGUGCCGGUUCAAGUCCGGCCUUCGGCACCA